GACGUAGGGUCCAAGCGUUGUCCGGAUUUACUGGGCGUAAAGCGCGCGUAGGCGGUCUGUUAAGUGCACAAGUGAAAGCUCCGGGCUCAACUCGGGAACUGCGUCCGAUACUGGCUGGCUUGAAUCCGGGAGAGGGAUGCGGAAUUCCAGGUGUAGCGGUGAAAUGCGUUGAUAUCAGAAGGAACGCCGGUGGCGAAAGCGACGUGCUGGACCUCUUCUGACGCUGAGGCGCGAAAGCUAGGGGAGCAAACGGG
rnacentral:rRNA from 1 species